GUGCUGGCUUCAGCAGCACCCCAUAAUAAGCAUGGAAUGAUACAGAAAAUAUGAGCAUGGCCCCCUAUUCAAUGAUGACACACAAACUCAAGAAGUGUAUCUUUUUUUU
rnacentral:snRNA from 1 species